CAGCACUGGGCUUGCGCCGGCCCUGGUGGGCUUACUGGUGAGCGCAAGCGAUGGGUGCCUUGAAGAGGGAAAACACCACGUGAACCCUAUUGAAACCUCAUUCAAGCAAAAGAUGUCUUGAGGAGUGGAAGAUACACCACAGAAAGCUUUUGAGAACGACGGAAUGAAGGAGUUGCAGCUUUAGGGGAUGGCGCCUCUGAGUCGGAUUAUAUUAGAGUUGAGAUAAGGUUAAGGAAAAUUAUAAGGGGCCCUGACACGAAUGUUUUAAAGCCCAAAGCUGCUACUUAGAUGGUAGUAUCUGAAUUGAAGGAAGAACUAGAAGCACAAGGUCUGCCAACUGAUGGUACCAGAAAUGUUCUCUACCAGCGUGUCCAAAAAGCAAGGACACCUGCUCCUUAUGUCGGGGGGUUGCAUAGCUCUGCAAGCAAUGCUUCCCCAUUUUAGCUGCCCUUGGAACUGUAAUAUAGUUAAUAGCGGAAAUAAGCAAAUCACAAAUACAAUUAACCACUAACCUUGUGAAGCCAUUGCAGCGGAAACUAGAGCUCUUCUACACUCAACACUACUGUAUGCAAUCAACAAACAAUGGGGCUUGUUCUCUCUGGUUUGCGUAAUCAGUGUGAAUGCAGGGACCUCUAUUACAUAUCCUUAGUGUUGGUAUUUGAUUAGGUUACUUCCCAUCAUGUAAUCCUAAUCAAAUUGUAUAAACAAAUACCCUUAUCACCACAAACCAAAGUUAUCAUAUCAGAAUAGUUAAACCUACUCAUACCAGGAUUACUUCCAGCUUUAUAUACAAUCAAAUACAUUCCUUGAUAGCUUUACAAGUCUAGUUUAUCCCAAUCUCUUACGACUUCAAUCCCUUAAGCACGUGAUAAACUUAGUGUGCAGCUCUAAUUAGAUUACAGGAACUUCACUCUAUACUGAUCAAAUCUGAAUGUGUUUCGUCUUACAGGUUGAUGAAGAGCUUGAUGAACUGCUCCCAUGUAUCAAGCUAGAAAAAGGAAAUACAGAGUUCUGGAAGCGUCGUUUCAUGGGAUAAGACUUCGGUACUGAUCAAGAAAAGGCUGAAGAUGUUUCGGAUAGUGUCACUGUUGAUGUUGCAUAAGAUGUGGAAAAUGACGAAGCUGAAGCUGAUGAUGAUGAUGACAAAGAUGAUGAUGAGGAGGAGGAGUACCCACAAAUGGGGAUUGUGCCGUGUUUUUGCGUGCGGCAGUAACCAGUAAGGGCUCCUCUGCCGUCAGCUUUCUUGAAUAUAUUACAGACUACGCAUAGUCUUGGUUAUGUAUUCGGCAGUCCCCUUUACGAUGAAAUCAUCUCACUGUGUCUCGACCUCGUGGAGCUAGAUGCAGCCGUUGCAAUUGUUGCAGACAUGGAGACGACUGGAAUCAGCCCCAGACGAGACAUUGGACCGGGUGAUUUCUGCUAAGCAGACGACCUGAUAGUACUGUCAAAGAUAGUUGCAAUGCAAGGGUUAGAAUUUGUUACAGUUCUCCCUUGCUGUGUAAUUAAACCUAAAUUUUGCCCACUUAGCAGUGAAGUAAUUGACGGCGAGCCUUGGCGCAACGGAAAAGUUGCUGUUUUGCGAUAAAAAAGUUACGGAUUUGAAUUGUGGAAACAAUCUCUUUAUAAAGUCAGUGUAAGAUAACAAGAGUACAACUGUGUACGAUAGAAUUCUCUUUCCGACUCUCACGAAGCAGGAGCCUUAUUGGCUUAGGGUUUUCCUUUUUUUGUAGUGGUAGUAAUUAUUUUCUGUACUCAUUGACUGUUAGCUUAAAAGGCAGUCAAAUUCAGCUGUCUUGGUGCAUAAGACAUGAUUGAUGCUUGAUCUUAAAGCAAGCCAAUGAAAAUGUGACUUAAAAGA